UAGUCCCUACGGGAGGCAGCAGUGAGGAAUAUUGGUCAAUGGGCGGGAGCCUGAACCAGCCAAGCCGCGUGAGGGAAGAAGGUACAGCGUAUCGUAAACCUCUUUUGUCAGGGAACAAAGGCGGGGACUAGUCCCCGGAUGAGGGUACCUGAAGAAGAAGCCCCGGCUAACUACGUGCCAGCAGCCGCGGUAAUACGUAGGGGGCAAGCGUUAUCCGGAUUUACUGGGUGUAAAGGGGGCGCAGACGGCGAUGCAAGCCAGGAGUGAAAGCCCGGGGCCCAACCCCGGGACUGCUCUUGGAACUG
rnacentral:rRNA from 1 species